CUGGGUCCUGACACGCUCUCCUCACCCCACGCAGGGGAGCAAGGGAGACCCCGGUCCUGCUGGCGCUCGCGGGGACAGCGGCCUGGCAGGAGCCCCUGGACCCGCUGGACCGCCAGGCCCCCCUGGGCCCCCUGGGCCACCGGGACCAGGACUCCCUGCUGGAUUUGAUGACAUGGAAGGCUCCGGGGGGCCCUUCUGGUCAACAGCCCGAGGCGCUGAUGGGCCGCAGGGACCCCCCGGCCUGCCAGGACUGAAGGGGGAUCCUGGUGUGCCUGGGCUGCGGGGGGCCAAGGUAAGCUCUGUGCCUGGCAGGGGGCUCCAAGGCCACAGUCCACAGCCCUGGGAGCCUCCUCACCCCACGUGGGUUCUGGGCACCUCC